AGCACCCUAGGGUUCUCCCUAGCUCCCCAUUUCUUCCUGCUCCUCUUCCCUCGCGCCGUCAGGAGAGAGCCAUCGUCGCCGACGCCAUGAGAGGGCUCAGGUGAGCUCAACCCCCGGCAGCAGAUCGGCCCUUCUUCUUCCACUCCGUCAGCACCAGGAGAAAGAGGACACUCGGAGGGUUCCAUUUUCGCGAAGGGAUCAGCGCCAAGACCUCCACCUCGACGUCCACGAGGGCGGAAACUUCUUCAACUCCAGCGGGUCUUCUACCACCCCGGCUCGUCGCCCUCUUCAUCUCCGGCGUAGGAUCGUCUCUCUGCCGCUAGGUGAGCGAGAUUCCGCUCUCCUCUCCCAUUGUCCCUCUCCGGCCGAGGCUCGUGUCGAGUAGAGGCCACGACCGCCUGUGUUCUUCUGUUCUCGAGCAGCAACAGCAGUUUCAGUACCAGCAGAGCGCAACAGUAGCAGUAGCUGCAGUAGAU
rnacentral:lncRNA from 1 species